rnacentral:rRNA from 1 species
UACAACUUUCAACAACGGAUCUCUUGGUUCUGGCAUCGAUGAAGAACGCAGCGAAAUGCGAUACGUAGUGUGAAUUGCAGAAUUCAGUGAAUCAUCGAAUCUUUGAACGCACAUUGCGCCCUUUGGUAUUCCAAAGGGCAUGCCUGUUC